rnacentral:rRNA from 1 species
UGGGGAAUAUUGCACAAUGGGCGCAAGCCUGAUGCAGCCAUGCCGCGUGUGUGAAGAAGGCCUUCGGGUUGUAAAGCACUUUCAGCGGGGAGGAAGGCGAUAAGGUUAAUAACCUCAUCGAUUGACGUUACCCGCAGAAGAAGCACCGGCUAACUCCGUGCCAGCAGCCGCGGUAAUACGGAGGGUGCAAGCGUUAAUCGGAAUUACUGGGCGUAAAGCGCACGCAGGCGGUCUGUCAAGUCGGAUGUGAAAUCCCCGGGCGCAACCUGGGAACUGCAUUCGAAACUGGCAGGCUAGAGUCUUGUAGAGGGGGGUAGAAUUCCAGGUGUAGCGGUGAAAUGCGUAGAGAUCUGGAGGAAUACCGGUGGCGAAGGCGGCCCCCCGGACAAAGACUGACGCUCAGGUGCGAAAGCGUGGGGAGCAAACAGG